rnacentral:rRNA from 1 species
UACAGAGGGGGCAAGCGUUGUUCGGAAUUACUGGGCGUAAAGGGCGCGUAGGCGGCCUGCUAAGUCGAACGUGAAAUCCCCGAGCUCAACUCGGGAACUGCGUCCGAUACUGGCAGGCUUGAAUCCGGGAGAGGGAUGCGGAAUUCCAGGUGUAGCGGUGAAAUGCGUAGAUAUCUGGAGGAACACCGGUGGCGAAGGCGGCAUCCUGGACCGGCAUUGGCGCUGAGGCGCGAAAGCCAGGGGAGCAAACGGG